UACGUAGGGGGCAAGCGUUGUCCGGAUUUAUUGGGCGUAAAGAGCGUGUAGGCGGUUUGGUAGGUCCGCUGUGAAAACUCGAGGCUCAACCUCGAGACGCCGGUGGAAACCAUCAGACUAGAGUCCGGAAGAGGAGAGUGGAAUUCCUGGUGUAGCGGUGAAAUGCGCAGAUAUCAGGAAGAACACCCGUGGCUAAGGCGGCGCUCUGGGCCGGAACUGACGCUGAGGAGCGAAAGCGUGGGUAGCAAACAGG
rnacentral:rRNA from 1 species